UGGGGAAGAAGGGAAGAGAAGUCAAUGUGGAAUGCAGACCACUAAGAAGAUGCUGCUUGAGGACAGUUUGUCUCUGGCUCAGUGAACCCCGGCAACCAAUCUGCUGGAGAGAUGCUGCUGACAGCUGUGUUCCCUGUGGAGUAAACUGCUUGCCUGGUUACCUCACUCUGGACACUGGGAUUUUGACUGUAUCAAAGCAAGAGGAAGCAUCGCUCAGUCAGGAACCCAUGUGUUGUCCAUUAAACAAGGAGAGAGCAGAUCCUUGCCAAAGAUGUGUCUAUAUGUGGAGACCAGAGGCUGGUUUCUGGAAGUGAAGAGCGAGUGAUGCUUUGAAAUCUGGUUUCACAAGCUUCCCAGUUUUACCAGAGGGGCAAGCUUGUCGGAGUCAUUCCACAGCAUCGGGCAGCAUCCUUUCUCUCCACCUGUGUGAUACAUCACUAGACACCCUCCCCGCGCCGUCAGCAGCAUGUUCUCUUGGCUCAGUUUGGCUGACAACACUCAGG